rnacentral:rRNA from 1 species
UACGUAGGGGGCUAGCGUUGUCCGGAAUCAUUGGGCGUAAAGCGCGUGUAGGCGGCCCGGUAAGUCCGCUCUGAAAGUCGGGGGCUCAACCCCCGGAUGCGGGUGGAUACUGUCGGGCUUGAGUGCGGAAGAGGCGAGUGGAAUUCCUGGUGUAGCGGUGAAAUGCGCAGAUAUCAGGAGGAACACCAAUUGCGAAGGCAGCUCGCUGGGACGUUACUGACGCUGAGACGCGAAAGCGUGGGGAGCAAACAGG